GGAUGAACGCUGGCGGCGUGCUUAACACAUGCAAGUCGAACGAACCUUCGGGUUAGUGGCGGACGGGUGAGUAACGCGUGAGAAUCUGCCCUCAGGAGGGGGACAACAGCUGGAAACGGCUGCUAAUACCCCAUAUGCCGCGAGGUGAAAUGAAUUUCGCCUGAGGAUGAGCUCGCGUCUGAUUAGCUAGUUGGUGUAGGUAAUGGCUCACCAAGGCAUCGAUCAGUAGCUGGUCUGAGAGGAUGAUCAGCCACACUGGGACUGAGACACGGCCCAGACUCCUACGGGAGGCAGCAGUGGGGAAUUUUCCGCAAUGGGCGAAAGCCUGACGGAGCAACGCCGCGUGAGGGAUGAAGGCCUCUGGGCUGCAAACCUCUUUUAUCAAGGAAGAAGAUCUGACGGUACUUGAUGAAUAAGCCACGGCUAAUUCCGUGCCAGCAGCCGCGGUAAUACGGGAGUGGCAAGCGUUAUCCGGAAUUAUUGGGCGUAAAGCGUCCGCAGGCGGCCCUCCAAGUCUGCUGUUAAAAAGUGGAGCUUAACUCCAUCAUGGCAGUGGAAACUGUUGGGCUUGAGUGUGGUAGGGGCAGAGGGAAUUCCCGGUGUAGCGGUGAAUGCGUAGAUAUCGGGAAGAACACCAGUGGCGAAGGCGCUCUGCUGGGCCAUCACUGACGCUCAUGGACGAAAGCCAGGGGAGCGAAAGGGAUUAGAUACCCCUGUAGUCCUGGCCGUAAACGAUGAACACUAGGUGUCGGGGGAAUCGACCCCCUCGGUGUCGUAGCCAACGCGUUAAGUGUUCCGCCUGGGGAGUACGCACGCAAGUGUGAAACUCAAAGGAAUUGACGGGGGCCCGCACAAGCGGUGGAGUAUGUGGUUUAAUUCGAUGCAACGCGAAGAACCUUACCAGGGUUUGACAUCCUGCGAAUCUCUUGGAAACAGGAGAGUGCCUUCGGGAACGCAGUGACAGGUGGUGCAUGGCUGUCGUCAGCUCGUGUCGUGAGAUGUUGGGUUAAGUCCCGCAACGAGCGCAACCCACGUCUUUAGUUGCCAGCAUUUAGUUGGGCACUCUAGAGAGACUGCCGGUGAUAAACCGGAGGAAGGUGUGGAUGACGUCAAGUCAUCAUGCCCCUUACAUCCUGGGCUACACACGUACUACAAUGCUACGGACAAAGGGCAGCAAGUUCGCGAGGACAAGCAAAUCCCAUAAACCGUGGCUCAGUUCAGAUCGUAGGCUGCAACUCGCCUACGUGAAGGCGGAAUCGCUAGUAAUCGCAGGUCAGCAUACUGCGGUGAAUACGUUCCCGGGCCUUGUACACACCGCCCGUCACACCAUGGAAGUUGGCCACGCCCGAAGCCGUUACUCCAACCCUUGUGGAGGAGGACGUCGAAGGUGGGGCUGAUGACUGGGGU
rnacentral:rRNA from 1 species